rnacentral:rRNA from 1 species
AGUGAACGCUGGCGGUAGGCCUAACACAUGCAAGUCGAACGGCAGCACAGUAAGAGCUUGCUCUUACGGGUGGCGAGUGGCGGACGGGUGAGGAAUACAUCGGAAUCUACUUUUUCGUGGGGGAUAACGUCGGGAACCUUACGCUAAUACCGCAUACGACCUACGGGUGAAAGCAGGGGAUCUUCGGACCUUGCGCGUUUGAAUGAGCCGAUGUCGGAUUAGCUAGUUGGCGGGGUAAAGGCCCACCAAGGCGACGAUCCGUAGCUGGUCUGAGAGGAUGAACAGCCACACUGGAGCUGAGACACGGUCCAGACUCCUACGGGAGGCAGCAGUGGGGAAGAUUGGACGAUGGGCGCAAGCCUGAUCCAGCCAUACCGCGUGGGUGAAGAAGGCCUUCGGGUUGGAAAGCCCUUUUGUUGGGAAAGAAAAGCAGCAGGUUAAUACCCCGCUGUUCUGACGGUACCCAAAGAAUAAGCACCGGCUAACUUCGUG